rnacentral:misc_RNA from 1 species
AGCGUGACCACCCACGUCUC